AUUGAACGCUGGCGGCAGGCCUAACACAUGCAAGUCGAACGGUAACAGAGAGCAGCUUGCUGCUCUGCUGACGAGUGGCGGACGGGUGAGUAAUGUCUGGGAAACUGCCUGAUGGAGGGGGAUAACUACUGGAAACGGUAGCUAAUACCGCAUAACGUCUUCGGACCAAAGUGGGGGACCUUCGGGCCUCAUGCCAUCAGAUGUGCCCAGAUGGGAUUAGCUAGUAGGUGGGGUAACGGCUCACCUAGGCGACGAUCCCUAGCUGGUCUGAGAGGAUGACCAGCCACACUGGAACUGAGACACGGUCCAGACUCCUACGGGAGGCAGCAGUGGGGAAUAUUGCACAAUGGGCGCAAGCCUGAUGCAGCCAUGCCGCGUGUAUGAAGAAGGCCUUCGGGUUGUAAAGUACUUUCAGCGGGGAGGAAGGCGUUGUGGUUAAUAACCGCAGCGAUUGACGUUACCCGCAGAAGAAGCACCGGCUAACUCCGUGCCAGCAGCCGCGGUAAUACGGAGGGUGCAAGCGUUAAUCGGAAUUACUGGGCGUAAAGCGCACGCAGGCGGUCUGUUAAGUCAGAUGUGAAAUCCCCGGGCUCAACCUGGGAACUGCAUUUGAAACUGGCAGGCUUGAGUCUCGUAGAGGGGGGUAGAAUUCCAGGU
rnacentral:rRNA from 1 species